rnacentral:pre_miRNA from 13 species
GCCUGGAACACAUACUUCUUUAUAUACCCAUAUGAACUUAACAGCUAUGGAAUGUAAAGAAGUAUGUAUUUUUGGU